UGUUGCUAUAAACAUGAUAAACAUUUUAUAACAUUAAUCAAAUCAAAAUGUUCAUAAUUGUAUAUUGUCAUUUAUUUAGCACUAUUUUUAUACUAAACACCUGGUUCAAAUAUGUACAUCCGUUGCAUAUUCAUAUAAAUUUAAAUAAAACAUAUAAGGUAAAUCAAUACAUUGUCUUUUUAAGAUCUAAUGUUGUUUUUUUACACCUGAAUUAACUUUUCUAACAUGCUCCAUCAUAAACUCAAAUACUGUGGAUUCAUUUAUUUGAUGAAUUUAGGAAAACUUGCGUUGCUUGGAUAUUUAAUUUCAUUUUUUUGGCAAAGUUUGCAUUUCUUUUUAAAAAUGUGUAGUUUGUUCAUCAUUUAAAUUCAUCACAUGAAAUCCACAAAAUUGGUAUUCAACUAAUAUUAAUAAAUCCACAUGAGUUAGAAGUUAUACAAACAAUAAUUGACAUGAUU
rnacentral:lncRNA from 1 species